ensembl:lncRNA novel transcript
CGCUGAUUAGCGCGGCUGGUUAGAGCCAGGACUAAUGAGGCUGAGGUCACGGACUCGGCCCCGUAGCCCAGGUAGCCCGGCCACCCUCCAAACGGCCGCUCCGCCUGGUCAGCUGCCUCACAGAUGCUCGCUGCUGUCUGGAAAGGGGCCAGGGAGGCUCGAGCCAGCAGCCAGCACGGGCUCUUUGUGUUUAAAACCAAACAAAAUAAAAACAGGUUCUCUAAUGUACCACCCCCUGUGAUCCUCUCUAGGAAUAUCAGACUUAAUGAUUUAAAUUUAAUUUGUUAGCCAUUUGGUGGUUAAUUUUUUUUAUUAAAAAAACUAAUGAUUUAUUAGCAUUCUUAUAAUAAGCAACAUUUAAUAUCUAUUCAUGAGAGUUCAAAUGGAUCAACUAUUUAAUUUUGUAAUAAAAUGAAUCAGAAAAGUA